rnacentral:tRNA from 1 species
AGAGAGUUGGAUGAGUGGUUUAAGUCGUUCCCCUGCUAAGGGAAUGUAUCCGAAAGGGUACCGAGAGUUCAAAUCUCUCACUCUCUGCCA